AAUAGACCACAUACAUGAUGGUGGUCCCAUUUGAUUAUACUAUGGUACUUUUACUAUAUCUUUUCUAUGUUUAGAUAUGUUAAGAUACACAAAUACCACUGCAUUAUAAUUGCCUAUAGUAUUCAGUACAGUAACAUGCUAAACAGGUUAGUAGCCUAGGAGCAAUAAGCCACCUACCAUAUAGCUUAGGUGUGUAGUAGUCUCUUUCAUCUAGGUUUGUGUAAGUACACUUUAUGAUGCUCAUACAAUGACAAAAUCGCCUAAUGGUACAUUUCUUAUAUCUCAGGCAUAAAUCAAUACAUGACUUUGAAAAGAAGGCCAGAGUAGGUCUCUGAGGAAGGUGCUGUUGAGAAGAGACCGACAUGGGCAGAGGCGCCAGCAAUGCAAAGAUUUACAUUGACAACAUGCACAACAGGCUCAUGUAAAAGGAUUAUCUGAUGUGUCAUCAUGACUUAAUGAAGAACGCAAAUGCUUCUCGAUGAAAUUGAAGUAAAAAGAGGAAACAGAAGGGAAAAUGAGAGUCUAAAAAGAAACAAAGAGAAGUUAACUUUUAAGAGAUGACAAAUUCUACCUGCCACGAUGUUUUAUUUUAAUCUGAAAGAAAUUAUAAAGCUGAUACUUUCUGAAAAUAUAUCCUUUUACAGUAAAUAUUCUUGUGAAAUCUGCCAACCUACUUUUGUUUUAUUUCAAAAGCUUUUGUACCUCUCCAGACUAAACAAAAUACUUAAAAGAUGAUAUGGACAUUUAAAAAUAUUGUACUUAAAAAUAGAGAAGAAUAAAAAUCAAGAAUUCAUUCAAAAGAAUAGUGAAUUCAAAUAACUUUCAAAUGUUAUUCUAAUUUAUGAGUUGCUGCUACAUCGAUCUUCCUACUGAAAACAAAAAUAUCUGUUGCUGACAUCUACCAAAAAGUGAAUUUUUUCCCCAAAUUGAGCUGAGUCCACCUGUUUUGGUAAUGAGUUAGAGAAAUAUAUUCUGUUCUUUUUUAGAAGCUCCAUCAGAGUGGAAGACAUUUAUGAACUAUAUAAAUGUCUCAUUAGACUCCGUCUCAAAAAAAAAAAAGAAAUGUCUCAUUAAUUUUUAGUUAUUGGUUUCUCAUUCUAUGACCCAGAGUCAUGAAAAUUUCAGAAAACCACAGGUUAUUUGUUGAGUGUUCAAAUUGCAUAAUUAAAUAACUGUCAUUGUUGGGAAAGGAGAAUGAUAUGGAAGACAUAGCCCACACUUGGCUCUUGAAAAGUUUACCACUGAACUGAGCUAACAGAUAAAACUUCAUCAAUUUCUUAUCACUGAACCUGAGGGUUACACACAGCUGCACACAUCCUUGCUCUGUAACUCUUUCUGUGAGAGAGGACAUGUGUAACUUCCUAUCUAAGGUCAAUCCCUUUAUCCCUCUUCUGAGAGCUGCAAUGGAGAUCCAGAACACAGUGGAAGAAUAUAUUGAAAUAUGUGUAUCUAAGGUGUUCUAUAAAUUCUCAUUUCAAUGGGCUGUCCCUUAGAUAACCAACACUCAUAUGUUGUUUCAUUUCUCAAUGCAUCUUACUGUGUUCCAUAUUACUUUGAGUCUAAUGGAAUGUACCAGCUUAAAUGGAGACUGUAUCUCUGCCUUUAUUACUAGAUCUGGUUGAUAUUGUUGUUAUCUGGAGUUUGAGAACUCUCUUCCCUUAUCAGGUGAGCUGCAUAAAUAAAAUGGUA
rnacentral:lncRNA from 1 species